CAAUAGCGUAUAUUUAAGUUGUUGCAGUUAAAAAGCUCGUAGUCGGAUUUUGGCUGAGAACGAACGGUCCGCCGUUAGGUGUGCACUGUUUGGUCUCAGCUUCCUGGUGAGGAGGUGUGCUUCACGGCCACUUAGUCACCGUGGUUACUUUGAAAAAAUUAGAGUGUUCAAAGCGGGCUUACGCUUGAAUAUAUUAGCAUGGAAUAACACCAUAGGACUCCUGUCCUAUUUCGUUGGUCUCGGGACGGGAGUAAUGAUUAAGAGGAACAGUUGGGGGCAUUCGUAUUUCAUUGUCAGAGGUGAAAUUCUUGGAUUUAUGAAAGACGAACCUCUGCGAAAGCAUUUGCCAAGGAUGUUUUCAUUGA
rnacentral:rRNA from 1 species